rnacentral:rRNA from 1 species
UACGUAGGGUGCAAGCGUUGUCCGGAAUUAUUGGGCGUAAAGAGCUCGUAGGCGGUCUGUCGCGUCUGCUGUGAAAACUCGGGGCUUAACCCCGGGCCUGCAGUGGGUACGGGCAGACUAGAGUGCGGUAGGGGAGACUGGAAUUCCUGGUGUAGCGGUGAAAUGCGCAGAUAUCAGGAGGAACACCGGUGGCGAAGGCGGCAUCCUGGACCGGCAUUGACGCUGAUGAGCGAAAGCCAGGGGAGCAAACGGG